CGAAGGAUCCAAGCGUUGUCCGGAUUUACUGGGUUUAAAGGGUGCGUAGGCGGAUGAUUAAGUCAGUGGUGAAAGCCUGCAGCUUAACUGUAGAAUUGCCAUUGAAACUGAUCGUCUCGAAUGUGGUAGAGGUGGUUGGAAUGUUGCAUGUAGCGGUGAAAUGCUUAGAUAUGCAACAGAACACCGAUUGCGAAGGCAGAUCACUAUACCAUUAUUGACGCUGAGGCACGAAAGCGUGGGGAUCAAACAGGAUUAGAUACCCUGGUAGUCCACGCCCUAAACGUUGCAUACUCGGUUUUAGCGAUAUACUGUUAGGACCCAAGCGAAAGCGUUAAGUAUGCCACCUGGGAAGUACGUCCGCAAGGAUG
rnacentral:rRNA from 1 species